rnacentral:rRNA from 1 species
AUGCGUUGUUGGGUAGGGGAGCGUUCUGUAAGCCUGUGAAGGUGUGUCGUGAGGCAUGCUGGAGGUAUCAGAAGUGCGAAUGCUGACAUAAGUAACGAUAAAGCGGGUGAAAAGCCCGCUCGCCGGAAGACCAAGGGUUCCUGUCCAACGUUAAUCGGGGCAGGGUGAGUCGACCCCUAAGGCGAGGCCGAAAGGCGUAGUCGAUGGGAAACGGGUUAAUAUUCCCGUACUUGGUGUUACUGCGAAGGGGGGACGGAGAAGGCUAUGUUGGCCGGGCGACGGUUGUCCCGGUUUAAGCGUGUAGGCUGGUUUUCCAGGCAAAUCCGGAAAAUCAAGGCUGAGGCGUGACGACGAGGCACUACGGUGCUGAAGCAACAAAUGCCCUGCUUCCAGGAAAAGCCUCUAAGCAUCAGGUAACAUCAAAUCGUACCCCAAACCGACACAGGUGGUCAGGUAGAGAAUACCAAGGCGCUUGAGAGAACUCGGGUGAAGGAACUAGGCAAAAUGGUGCCGUAACUUCGGGAGAAGGCACGCUGACACGUAGGUGAAGUGAUUUACUCAUGGAGCUGAAGUCAGUCGAAGAUACCAGCUGGCUGCAACUGUUUAUUAAAAACACAGCACUGUGCAAACACGAAAGUGGACGUAUACGGUGUGACGCCUGCCCGGUGCCGGAAGGUUAAUUGAUGGGGUCAGCGCAAGCGAAGCUCCUGAUCGAAGCCCCGGUAAACGGCGGCCGUAACUAUAACGGUCCUAAGGUAGCGAAAUUCCUUGUCGGGUAAGUUCCGACCUGCACGAAUGGCGUAAUGAUGGCCAGGCUGUCUCCACCCGAGACUCAGUGAAAUUGAACUCGCUGUGAAGAUGCAGUGUACCCGCGGCAAGACGGAAAGACCCCGUGAACCUUUACUAUAGCUUGACACUGAACAUUGAGCCUUGAUGUGUAGGAUAGGUGGGAGGCUUUGAAGUGUGGACGCCAGUCUGCAUGGAGCCGACCUUGAAAUACCACCCUUUAAUGUUUGAUGUUCUAACGUGGACCCGUUA